rnacentral:rRNA from 1 species
UACGGGGGGGGCUAGCGUUGUUCGGAAUUACUGGGCGUAAAGGGCGCGUAGGCGGCCGAUCAAGUCAGGCGUGAAAUUCCUGGGCUCAACCUGGGGGCUGCGCUUGAUACUGAUUGGCUUGAAUGCGGGAGAGGAUAAUGGAAUUCCCAGUGUAGAGGUGAAAUUCGUAGAUAUUGGGAAGAACACCGGUGGCGAAGGCGGCUAUCUGGCCCGUAAUUGACGCUGAGGCGCGAAAGCGUGGGGAGCAAACAGG